rnacentral:rRNA from 1 species
UACGUAGGGGGCAAGCGUUGUCCGGAUUUAUUGGGCGUAAAGAGCGUGUAGGCGGCUGGGUAGGUCCGUUGUGAAAACUCGAGGCUCAACCUCGAGACGCCGAUGGAAACCCUCCAGCUAGAGUCCGGAAGAGGAGAGUGGAAUUCCUGGUGUAGCGGUGAAAUGCGCAGAUAUCAGGAGGAACACCUGUGGCGAAAGCGGCUCACUGGACCACAACUGACGCUGAUGCACGAAAGCUAGGGGAGCAAACAGG